rnacentral:misc_RNA from 1 species
GAUGAAGAACGUAGCAAAAUGCGAUAAGUAAUGUGAAUUGCAGAAUUCAGUGAAUCAUCGAAUCUUUGAACGCACAUUGCGCCCGCCAGUAUUCUGGCGGGCAUGCCUGUUCGAGCGUCAUUUCAACCCUCAAGCCCUCGGGUUUGGUGUUGGGGAUCGGCGAGCCUUUCUGGCAAGCCGGCCCCGAAAUCUAGUGGCGGUCUCGCUGCAGCCUCCAUUGCGUAGUAGUAAAACCCUCGCAACUGGAACGCGGCGCGGCCAAGCCGUUAAACCCCCAACUUCUGAAUGUUACCUCGGAUCAGGUAGGAAUACCCGCUGAACUUAAGCAUAUCAAUAAGCGGAGGA